rnacentral:rRNA from 1 species
UACGUAGGGUGCAAGCGUUAAUCGGAAUUACUGGGCGUAAAGCGUGCGCAGGCGGUUAUGCAAGACAGAUGUGAAAUCCCCGGGCUUAACCUGGGAACUGCAUUGGUGACUGGCGGGCUAGAGUAUGGCAGAGGGGGGUAGAAUUCCACGUGUAGCAGUGAAAUGCGUAGAGAUGUGGAGGAAUACCGAUGGCGAAGGCAGCCCCCUGGGCCAAUACUGACGCUCAUGCACGAAAGCGUGGGGAGCAAACAGG